rnacentral:rRNA from 1 species
AUCCACCUACGGGGGGCAGCAGUGGGGGAUAUUGCACAAUGGGAGAAACCCUGAUGCAGCGACACCGCGUGGGUGAGGAAGCGCUUCGGCGUGUGAAGCCCUAUCAGUGGGGAAGAAAAAGGACGGUACCCAAAGAAGAAGCACCGGCUAAAUACGUGCCAGCAGCCGCGGUAAUACGUAUGGUGCAAGCGUUAUCCGGAAUGACUGGGUGUAAAGGGAGCGUAGACGGUUGUACAAGCCUGAUGUGAAAGCCCACGGCUCAACUGUGGGAGUGCAUUGGAAACUGUAGAACUAGAGUAUCGGAG